rnacentral:misc_RNA from 1 species
UUAACGUUUAUAAAUAAACAAGUUCAGACUGACUGCAAUAAGCAGAGUAUAUGUAUGCCUUCCCUGAGUUACCCCAGGGAAGCAACAAGUAAUAGGUACACAGAAGAGUUAUGGUAAUACCAAAAAAGGCUACGGACUUUUACCGUACAUCCCGCGAAGGCACCCUCUCACUUGGUAGUGAGAAGGCCCCCCCUUCUGAAGGGGGCUGUUAAUUACUUCUAUAUGGGAUUUAUCAAUUUACCCUAUGUCAUUGAAUUUGUAAUGAUCCUUCCGCAGGUUCACCUACGGAAA